UACGGAAGGCAGCAGUGGGGAAUAUUGCACAAUGGGCGCAAGCCUGAUGCAGCCAUGCCGCGUGUAUGAAGAAGGCCUUCGGGUUGUAAAGUACUUUCAGCGGGGAGGAAGGCGAUGCGGUUAAUAACCGCGUCGAUUGACGUUACCCGCAGAAGAAGCACCGGCUAACUCCGUGCCAGCAGCCGCGGUAAUACGGAGGGUGCAAGCGUUAAUCGGAAUUACUGGGCGUAAAGCGCACGCAGGCGGUCUGUUAAGUCAGAUGUGAAAUCCCCCGGGCUUAACCUGGGAACUGCAUUUUGAAACUGGCAGGCUUGAGUCUUGUAGAGGGGGUUGAAAUUCCAGGUGUAGCGGUGAAAUGCGUAGAGAUCUGGAGGAAUACCGGUGGCGAAGGCGGCCCCUGGACAAGACUGACGCUCAGGUGCGAAAGCGUGGGGAGCAAACAGGAUUAGAUACC
rnacentral:rRNA from 1 species